GAUGAACGCUGGCGGCGUGCCUAAUACAUGCAAGUCGAGCGAACGGACGAGAAGCUUGCUUCUCUGAUGUUAGCGGCGGACGGGUGAGUAACACGUGGAUAACCUACCUAUAAGACUGGGAUAACUUCGGGAAACCGGAGCUAAUACCGGAUAAUAUUUUGAACCGCAUGGUUCAAAAGUGAAAGACGGUCUUGCUGUCACUUAUAGAUGGAUCCGCGCUGCAUUAGCUAGUUGGUAAGGUAACGGCUUACCAAGGCAACGAUGCAUAGCCGACCUGAGAGGGGGAACGGCCACAAGGGAAAUGAAAAACGGGCCAGAACCCGAAGGGGGGCAAGAGUAGGGAAUUUCCCGAAAGGGGGGAAAGCCUGACGGAGAAACGCCGGGGGAGUGAGGAAGGGUUGGGGAUCGUAAAACUCUGUUAUUAGGGAAGAAAAUAGGGGAAAGUAAAGGGGAAAAUUUUGACGGUACAUAAUCAGAAAGCCACGGCUAACUACGU
rnacentral:rRNA from 1 species